CUUCAUAAGAUGACUGAAAG
rnacentral:tRNA from 1 species